rnacentral:rRNA from 1 species
UGGAUCAUGUUGUUUAAUUCGAUGAUACGCGAAGAACCUUACCAGGUCUUGACAUCCCCCGCGAUGCUUUAGAGAUAAAGCGGAGGUAUUCGGGGAGACAGGUGGUGCAUGGUUGUCGUCAGCUCGUGUCGUGAGAUGUUGGGUUAAGUCCCGCAACGAGCGCAACCCCUAUUGCUAGUUACCAUCAUUAAGUUGGGGACUCUAGCGAGACUGCCAGUGAUAAACUGGAGGAAGGUGGGGAUGACGUCAAAUCAUCAUGCCCCUUAUGACCUGGGCUACAAACGUGAUACAAUGGCUGGAACAAAGGGAUGCGAAGCAGUGAUGUGGAGCGAAACCCAUAAAAACAGUCUCAGUUCGGAUUGAAGUCUGCAACUCGACUUCAUGAAGUCGGAAUCGCUAGUAAUCGUGAAUCAGAAUGUCACGGUGAAUACGUUCCCGGGCCUU